CAUCGGGCAGUAAAAGCCCAUUAAAAAAAGCCCUGCAAGCGGCACUAGUAUACGUGCCUCUUUGACAGGGGCGUGCUUUCAGCCCAUUUGAAAGUACGCCCCUGUCACUCAGUUAGAUGUGAUUGGGCAGUGGGCAAAGGGUUUGCCCCUGUCAUCUAAUGCAGCGCAGCUGACAGGAUGGGGAGGAGGGGCCGCGAUUCCCUCUCCUAUCCCAAUUGCCUCGGCCCCCCUUCCAUCACCGGCUCCCAGCGGCUGACCAGUCACACCAGGGAAGCUCUGUUGCAAGGCAACACAGCAGUAACUCUGCGGCUUGCACCCCAUCAGCCUGCUGUACACUCACCAUCCAGGGCGGCCCUGUACAGGUGGAAUGGCAGAGCUAGGGUGCGCUGGAGGGCGAGCACAUCACAGGGAGCAGAUGCCCUGACAUCCAUCUAUAUCCUUGAGCAUCAGCUUUAGUAGAUGACAUUGAAGGACUAGGAUCGUCAUCAAGACUGGUGGCAGCAGCUGCAGCAAUAUGAUUGGGUUGCUCUUACCUUUCUGGAGGUCCAGCAAACACUCGUUUGGGAUUCCAGCAGUUGGAAUUCAAGCGCUGGGCUCCCAACUGCCAGGUUCCUGACUGGAUCCCAGAUGAAGUAAACAAAAGAAGGGUUUUGCACAUAGGGACCAAUGAGGGAGGUGACAGAAGAGGAAAGUUUCAUAGGUCUUAAUGAUUUCAGUUGAGAUUGAAUUCGAAUGACAGCGGACAUGUGAAGUGACCACUUUAAAAAAAAGGUCAUAUGACAUCAACUGUGACCAUAGUUUGACCUGUUGAGAGUUUAUUGAAGGUCACAGUAAGUUCUCUGUAUUUCUAUUUAAAAUGCAGUAUAUGCAAAAUCUUUACUGUCUAAUAUUGAAGAUUGAAUAAAACAUCACAACAUUGGAAGAAAAGAAGGUCAGUGGGAUUGUGGCAGAAAAGUGGAACUGUACAGUGGCUAUUACAGAACACAUGUGGGAAUCCGGGGGAGCAGGGUCCUUUGAGGUCCCAGCAUUGUUUUCCCUCUUCUAAACAGGCCCCUUAUCCUUUGCAUCCACUGCAAUUGUGGUUCUGUAGGUCUGCCAUUGCACCAUUCUAAGAUUGGCUAAUCAAUGUCAAUGAUCAUACAAGCUUUGAUUUAACUAGAAGCCAAUGACAUUACUCAGGUUCAUUUACUACAAUGGUGCAAUGGCAGUAUCCUAUGUAUGAAGGCAACUGGUGCAACAACAACAAAAAAAAGUAUCUAAAAUGUAUCAUUAUGAUGUUAUUAAAAUUUGUAUUAUAUGUAUACACAUUUUUACUUUGUAAAUGCAGAUGUAGCCAGGUUUAUCUAUUCUCCGUGUGGCGUGUAGUGCAAAAAACUAGUUGCAUUACGUAUGCCUGCAUCUGGUCACAGGGUGGCAUAUUCAGUCGCAAGGUGGUAUAUUCAGUCGCAGUGUAAUGAACUGAGGGCCCGAUUCAGACCUGAUCGAUGAGCUGCUAAUUUUGCCGUCCUGCAUUCAGAUAGUGUGCGAUUUCAUGUGUACACCGUUCUACAAAUAUCUCUCAGUCAGCGGACAGCUGCAAAUCCGUUCGCACCACACUCACCAUUGAAUGUUUUUACCAGUGUGUGCAGUCUGUGCGCAGCCCAGGACUUACUCCUACACUGAGAUGAGAACAGGCUGAUCUGGUCCGGAGCUGACGUCAGACACCCUCCCUGAAAAUGCUUGGGAACGCCUGCGUUUUCCCUGACACUCCCAGAAAAUGGUCAGUUAGCACCCACAACUGUCCUCUUCCUGUCAAUCAGCAUGUGAAUUGCUGUGUGGUUGAAAUUUUUGCACCAACCUGUUGCUGUUCGGCGAUGCCUGUGUUGUUUGGCGACACGCAUUAGAGUGCAUACGCAUGAGCAGUCUAUCGAUAAUUGCCCGCUGUGCGAAAACGCACAGCAGCAAUCAGCUCUGAAGCAGGCCCAGAGUCUCUGGUCAGUGCAAUAGUGGGGUUGGUCCACCAGGUAUCAUUUUUGAAAACCACUAUUGCACAUGCUUGAAGUAUCCAUUGUAAAGUCAAACAAUGCUUGCAGUUUAAGAACUACUAUUUUUAGAUGCUUUAUUAUUCAUUUAAUCAUAUUAUGGUGGCUAUACAGCACUGUUAUGUAUGUUUUACAAGGCCUACCAUGAUAACAGAUUUUUUAUUACACACUGCAAAAUUUGCCAUGCUCCUGCUUGGGCACUCAUGAUCACUCACAGUAACUACAGUACCAGCAUUGCAUUGAGCUGAUUGCGAGCCUUUGUUGCCACACUGAAAAUGACAGUGAGCUACUACUGUACACAUAUAAUAAUAAUAAUAAUAAUAAUAAUAAUAAUAAUAAUUGCAAUCAGUGGCAUCACUACAGUUUGUCACUGCUGGUGUGCAAGAGUUGAUAGUGUGGCGACUUUGGUCUUUAGGUACUGUUAAUGCUUAGCAUGUCCAUGUACCCGGGAUUGAUUCCUGCAAGUGAUUAUACUUUUUAAAACAAUUGCUGUAAUCAAUAUUAUGCUAUAUACAGUACACUGUACAUAUUUUACAUUACAAAUCUCAUGUUAUUUCACACAGCGAGCAACUUGUGCUGUGAUCUGGGACCCUGCACAGUGACACCAUGCCUUACAAAUGAAACAAUGGGCUUCAAGGGCAUCCUAUAAUAUUAUCACUAUACAGCAAGUCAGGGCAUAAAAAAGGACUGCUUCUGUUUUUACAGUAUAUGGCUGCGACACUCAUGAUCACUCACAGUAACUACAGCAUUGAGUUAAUUGCAUGCAUCUAUUGCCCCACUGAAAAUGACCAUCAGCAACUACAGUACACAUAAAAAAAGCCAAACAAAUCAUUGUAAUCAGUGGCAUCAGCACAGUAUGUCACUUCCAGUGUAUAAGUUUUGCUAGUGUGGCGACUUUGGUCUAGAGGUACUGUUAACACUUAGCAUGUCCAUGUACCUAGGUUAGAUUCCAUAAAGUUAUUGCACUUUUUUCGGUGACGGACCAUCAGUUCAUAAUGAAUGCUAAUCUUUUUCUGUGUUUACAAUUCUAGUUAAUGUAGGGGUCCUACAGUACAUGUAUAAAUGUAUUAAAAGAAAAAAAAACUGCUUGGCCACAGUACAUUUCCUCUUCUACAUUUUGUCAUUGAAGGGCUCAUGGCAGCUGUGGUUGGGGGAAAGGACCCAGGGGGCAUAACUUCUCCAUUGACUUCACACUAUAGCCAGCCUACCCCCCUCCUUAUGAAACUUCUCAUUUCACAGACAGGGAGGACAGCUUAAAUAAGUAACAAAACAGUUGGUAAAUGAAGGGCUCAUGCUGGCUUUGGUUGGGGGAAGAGACCCAUAGAGGGGUAUCUUGCAGUUGUGUUUUUUCCCCCUUUUCUGCAUAGUGUAAGUGAUUGCCCCACAUUCAGUAUAAGCAAUAACUGCUUAUGCACUACUGUGUGUAUAAAAAGACACAAACUGAGGUGUUUACAGAAGCAGUGUUUUUUGGCCCUGACAGAAAAUUCAUAUUUUCUACAGUGCCCCUGAAGCCCACUGUUCAUUUGUAAGGCAUGGUAUCAGUAUGUCAUUGCUGCCCGUGCGUCACUGCCUAAGUUGUAAAGGCCAUGUCCACAGUAUGAUUGGCAGCUUGGAAUAAAAUGAGAUUUGUAAUGUACAAAAUAUCUCCCUUAAAUUGCCAUGCACGGUGCUCAAGUACUGUCUGCUAAGCCCAUACACUUCCAUAGGGGUACUGUAUAUUGCUUGGUUGCUAUGUGCAAUGUGAGGAAAUGAGAGGUCUGUGACAAUUAAUAUAGCUAUGCCUCAUUUCCCAUAUCAAAUAUGUACUUUUUAUCCCCAUAUCCCUAUACAUUCAAUUCAUCUGUUUGCUCAUUCUCCAUAACAUGUCCAUUACUGCUCACCCAAUAUUGUGUUUAAAUCAACCUUAAUAUUGUUAAUAUAAGCAAUUGUGUUAUGUUAUCUGUUACCUUUUAGAUAAUGUAUUUAUGUUAGACCUAGUUUCCUAUUGUUUUCAUACACCAUAGUGGACACUCAGAGGGUGAGUCAUAUAAGGUACCAUUGUCCCUUUGUGUUUACUCCCUAUUAUCCAACAGUGAGCUGACCAGGCAGGGUGGCUCACUGACAGAUGUAUUCACCUUGAUUAGAAUAUGUAUUGUAUUCCAAUGCUAUAAGAUCGUAAAACAAGGAAAUCAAACACACCCCUGCAAUAUGAAGCUUCUGGGGGUAUAAGUAGAGCUACCCAGAGAGUUGAGGGAGAUUCUCUGCUCCAAGACUAAGAAGUAAUGUUCUGUCAGCAGUUUGUUGUGGAAAUUGUCAUGUGGAAUUGGAUUACAGAGGUGUGCUGAGCUGUUUAUAACCCAUGUUGUUCAAUAAAACACUGUUGGUUUUUCAUCUACCACUGUGCCUGAGUGAUUUGGAACCUGGUAUCAUCACAUGCAACAUCUCCACUCCUGAGAAACUGUAGUUUAGUAAAUACUGUA